UAUCGAGUUUUGAAAUGGGUUGUAGCUGGCCUUCCGGGGCAUGUGCACACCCUGCUCAUCCACUCUACACCUGUGCACUUACUGUAGGUGACUCUGGGAGGGCCAGCAUUAGCUGGCUUUCUUGUUGUUGCCUACGUUUUACUACAAACAAUUCAGUAUCAGAAUGUGUAUUGCGAUGUAACGCAUCUAUAUACAACUUUCAGCAACGGAUCUCUUGGCUCUCGCAUCGAUGAAGAACGCAGCGAAAUGCGAUAAGUAAUGUGAAUUGCAGAAUUCAGUGAAUCAUCGAAUCUUUGAACGCACCUUGCGCUCCUUGGUAUUCUGAGGAGCAUGCCUGUUUGAGUGUCAUGAAUCUCUCAACCUAUAAGUCCUUGCGGCUUACAGGAUUGGAAUUGGAGGCUUGCCGGCGAGUUAACAACCUGUCGGCUCCUCUCAAAUGCAUUAGCUUGAUUCCUUGCGGAUCGGCUCUCAGUGUGAUAAUUGUCUACGCUGUGACCGUGAAGCGUUUGGCUAGCUUCUAACUGUCUCUCUUAGAGACACUUAAUCUGACCUCUGACCUCAAAUCAGGUAGGACUACCCGCUGAACUUAAGCAUAUCAAUAAGCGGAGGAAAAGAAACUAACAAGGAUUCCCCUAGUAACUGCGAGUGAAGCGGGAAAAGCUCAAAUUUAAAAUCUGGCGGUCUUUGGCCGUCCGAGUUGUAGUCUGGAGAAGUGCUUUCCGCGCUGGACCGUGUAUAAGUCUCUUGGAACAGAGCGUCAUAGAGGGUGAGAAUCCUCUUUGACACGGACUACCAGUGCUUUGUGAUGCGCUCUCAAAGAGUCGAGUUGUUUGGGGAAUGCAGCUCAAAA
rnacentral:rRNA from 1 species